ensembl:lncRNA
AGUAUGUGAAAACUGAAGUUUUUUGUCUUAAUGUAGUCAAAUACUUUUUCAAUCCUUCCCUUUAAGGUUCAUGGUGUUUGCGUCUUAAGAAAUUCUUUACUUCCUUUUACUGGCUAUGGUAGCAAGAGUUUCAGGGUGUGUAUGUGCUCAGUUGCUUCUGUCACAUCCCAAGGAUGGGAAGCAAAAGUCUGUAGUUCUGAGGGCCAACCCUGGAAAGAGGAAAGGCAUGGAGGAAGAAAGAGAGAGAGUUGGAGGACUGUCGGCACCAGCCCCUACACUGAGCUAGUCCUCAACAGCACGAUUUCUAGAGUUCCGCUGGACUCAGGCCCCAUAGCCCCAGGAGGAUGCUGAGUCACGAUCCCUGGCCCCUGGGAUAAGAGAGCUCCUCAGGCCACAGCAACCAACAGGCCAGGGAAGACCUCUGUCCUUGGGCAUGAGGAAUCUCUUAAGACAGAGAGGCCAAGAUUCCCCUGGAGCAUGGACAGAGUUUUUCCCAUCCACAUUGGGAAUUGUCUUCCCGCGGCCUGCCUCUGAGAGGUUUGGGGAGGUGGCAGCUGAGACUCGACAAGCUCUGUGUCCAUCCAGCUUCUAAGUCUUGAAGUCACCUGGCACCAGCACCUCCUGGGCUGUGUCACCACCUCCCCCUUUUCACCCAGGAUGAGCUCAAUCAGCACCAAGCUGACCUGAACCUCCAGGCUACAGGAGGUUUCCCUCGAUGGUCUUCUUCACCCGGCAUGGACCGGCCCUCCAUCCAAGGACGGUUCUCCAGUGCCUUAUCCUCUCUUCUAAAUAGGUGUUUUCUUCCCAGCCCUUCCCCCCACCAAACUCCUUAUUACUUCUUUGUUUUUUAAAAUCUACAAUUUUUUCCCCCUGGGAAAGAUUCACCCUGAGCUAACAUCUAUUGUCAAUCUUCCUCUAUUUUUUAGUAUGUGAGCCACCAGCACAGCAUUGCUGCUAACAGAGUCGUGUGGGUCCAUACCUGGGAACUGAACCCAGGCUGCUGAAGCAGAUCACGCUGAACUUAACCACUAGGCCACUGGGGCUGGUCCCUUCCUCUCUUUUUUUUUUCCCACCCCAAAGCCCAGUACAUAGUUGUAUGUUGUAGUUGUAGCUCCUCCUAGUUCUUCUGUGUGAGCCGCUGCCACAGCAUGACUACUGACAGAUGAGUGGUGUGGUUCUGGGCCCGGGAACCAAACCUGGGCCACCAAAGCAGAGUGUGCCAAACUUUAACCACUAAGCCAUCAGGGCUGGCUCCCACCAAACUCUUGAUAAUUUACAUCACAACCCAAAUGGUUUUUGCUACAGUUAGCAGAUCAUUGAUGUCAUCUUCCCAGGGAUGCAACAAUCUUGCUUCUCAUCAGCUCCCACCUCCCACCUAGCCCCAGCCCCUCUUCCCCAGAGUCCUUGUUCCCCUUCGGUGAACCCAAUUUAGCUGAGACACAUCAGGGGGUGCCAAUGGUCUGUGAAUUAUGGUGAGUUUCCUAAAGGUUAUGGGAGUUGAACGGGAAUUUCCCUAACAUAAUCGAAAGGAAUUAUGAACACAUUUUAAUAUAAUAAAAGCAGAUUUGUGUAAUGUGUAAUGUGUCUGUUUCUUGCCCCAGGGAAGGCCUGGCUGGCUGGAGCUCUGCCUUCCCUCCCUGACCCUUUUUCUCCCAUCUUCAUCCUGUAGUUUGUCAUGGUAACCAGUAGGUGGCUGCAAUUAUACAUACCCGCACAUGUGUGCGCACACACACACACACACACACACUCUCUCUCUCUCUCUCUCCAAGCUAUUCAUUUUCAUUUACAAAGUUGCCAAAAAUAAAUGAAUGAGUG